rnacentral:rRNA from 1 species
CAUUUUGGACAAUGUGCGCAAGCCUGAUCCAGCCAUGCAGCGUGAGUGAAGACCGCCUUCGGGUCGUAAAGCUCUUUCGGACGGUAAGCAAUCGCGCCGGCAACUACUCUGCGCGCCUGACGGUACCGCCCUCAGAAGCCCCGGCUACCUACGUGCCAGCAGCCGCGGUAGUACGUAGGGUGCGAGCGUUAAUCGGAAUUACGGGGCGUAAAGCGUGCGCGGGCGGUUGAUUAAGACAGGCGUGAAAUCCCCGGGCUUAACCUGGGAACUGCGCUUGUGACUGGUCAGCUAGAGUACGGCAGAGGGGGGUGGAAUUCCACGUGUAGCAGUGAAAUGCGUAGAGAUGUGGAGGAACACCGAUGGCGAAGGCAGCCCCCUGGGCCGAUACUGACGCUCAUGCACGAAAGCGUGGGUAGCAAACAGG